UACGAAGGGUGCAAGCGUUGUUCGGAAUUACUGGGCGUAAAGGGCGCGUAGGCGGGUUUGUAAGUCGAUUGUGAAAUCCCUGGGCUUAACCCGGGAACUGCAGUCGAAACUGCAAAUCUUGAAUACCUGAGAGGAUGGCGGAAUUCCCGGUGUAGUAGUGAAAUACGUAGAUAUCGGGAAGAACACCUGAGGCGAAGGCGGCUAUCUGGCAGUGUAUUGACGCUGAGGCGCGAAAGCGUGGGGAGCAAACAGG
rnacentral:rRNA from 1 species